rnacentral:rRNA from 1 species
GGCUCAGAUUGAACGCUGGCGGGCGUGGCUUAACACAUGCAAGUCGUACGAGGAAAGUUUCAGCUUGCUGAAGCGAGUAAAGUGGCGCACGGGUGAGUAACGCGUGGGUAAUCUGCCCCUGGGUUCGGGAUAACCCGCCGAAAGGCGAGCUAAUACCGGAUAACAUCUUUGACACAUCGGUGUUAAAGAUCAAAGGUAGCCUCUACAUGUGAGCUUCUGCCGAGGGAUGAGCCCGCGUACCAUUAGUUUGUUGGUGAGGUAACGGCUCACCAAGACUUUGAUGGUUAGCUGGUCUGAGAGGAUGAUCAGCCACACUGGAACUGAGACACGGUCCAGACUCCUACGGGAGGCAGCAGUGAGGAAUUUUGCGCAAUGGGGGAAACCCUGACGCAGCAACGCCGCGUGAGUGAUGAAGGCCCUUGGGUCGUAAAGCUCUGUCAAGUGGAAAGAAAAUAUGUACUAUAAAUAGUAGUGCGUAUUGACGGUACCGCUAAAGGAAGCACCGGCUAACUCCGUGCCAGCAGCCGCGGUAAUACGGGGGGUGCAAGCGUUAAUCGGAUUUAUUGGGGCGUAAAGGGCGCGCAGGCGGCCUGGUAAGUCAGAUGUGAAAGCCCGGGGCUCAACCCCCGGAAGUACAUUUGAAACUAUCAGGCUUGAGUAUGGGGAGAGGGGAAGUGGAAAUUCCUGGGGUAGCGGUGAAAUGCGUAGAUAUCAGGAGGGAACACCGGGUGGCCGAAGGCGACUUCCUGGACCAAUUACUGGACGCUGGAGGGCGGCGAAAGGCGUGGGGUAACAAACAAGGAUUUAUAUACCUCUGGUUAGU